rnacentral:rRNA from 1 species
GGCCAGACUCCUACGGGAGGCAGCAGUGGGGGAUAUUGCACAAUGGGGGGAACCCUGAUGCAGCGACGCCGCGUGGGUGAAGAAGCGCCUCGGCGCGUAAAGCCCUGUCAGCAGGGAAGAAAAUGACGGUACCCGAAGAAGAAGCCCCGGCUAACUACGUGCCAGCAGCCGCGGUAAUACGUAGGGGGCAAGCGUUAUCCGGAUUUACUGGGUGUAAAGGGGGCGCAGACGGCGAUGCAAGCCAGGAGUGAAAGCCCGGGGGCCAACCCCGGGACUGCUCUUGGAACUGCGUGGCUGGAGUGCAGGAGGGGCAGGCGGAAUUCCUGGUGUAGCGGUGAAAUGCGUAGAUAUCAGGAGGAACACCGGUGGCGAAGGCGGCCUGCUGGACUGCAACUGACGUUGAGGCCCGAAAGCGUGGGGAGCAAACAGGAUUAGAUACCCCGGUAC